CUAAAAUGGCUGCUGCCUCUCUGUUUCCUUAGAAACCCAUUAGUCUCCCUCAGCAGCUGUCAAAACUUGCUGGCGGUUUCCUGCUCACCUUUGCUGUUUCUCCUUCAAAAAGGGAUGGAGAGGAGGACUAUGUAACUUGGCCUGGAAACACCCUCAGCGGUCUCAGUUUCCCCUGGGAGGCUGAAGGAGGCCUGGGAUGGAACCGAGAGGCACUGCAGACACGGCUGGAAGCCCAGAGGGCAGGCCAGGGCCCAGAACGGUGACCAGUGGUGACUGCUGUUGUUUAAUCACUAAGUUGUGUCCGACCCUUUUGGACACCAUGGACUGUAGCCCACUAGGCUUCUCUGGCCAUGGGAUUUUCCAGGCAAGAAUACUGGAGUGGGUUGUCAUUUCUUUCUUCAAGGCAUGACUGAAGGGUUGAAAAACUGAAGUUUCCAGCCUUGAACCUUGCACUUGCUGGGGCUCCCAUCACCUACUCAAUGGAACACACACAAGCACACAAUUAAGAAUGGCGAGCAGUGGGGCCACAGCAGAACUGUGGUUCUGCUCGGGGACCAAGUUCCCACCGCCCUUGGGGUAACCUGAGUGGUUGGCCCCAUGUGUCCUUCGUUCUGUGUCUGGAGUGUGGAACUCCAGACUACACCUGUCUCUGGUUGUUCAAGGAGACUGGAGAGAAUGAAACAGCAGGUGCAUUCUGGCAUCCUAAUAAAAGCAGGUGCAUUUUAUCCCAAUAAAACUCCUCCAAAGAAUCGCCAUUUCCCCUCUGCUCCCUCGCCAGGAUCUGGUUUCAGACCUAACUCUGUGCCCUCAGCAACAUUGCCUGGUUCAGUGCUUGUCCCCCAGAGAUAUGAAGAAGGAGAUGAGUCUCCUAUAUUUAUUAAGACUUACUUAUAAAGGCAUCAGAGAGCUCUUGAGAACAUUCCAAGGUCACCAAAUGCUUUCUCAAAAUGCCUUUACUCAGAGAAUAUUUAAAGAAGAACUUCCUGCCUAGUGGGAGAGAGCUGUGAAAAACUGUGAAUGCUCCAACUGGCCACCUUUCCAGAAUAGACUUUUCCUCUGGAACCAAGACCAGCAAAAAUCACUGUUACGCACAUCACUCAGAUCCAAACUAGGUAUAAGGACUAACCUUACAACCUGUGCAACAUUCCACGUGUGCCAAUGGAAAGCCCCUUUAUAUGUGAAAGUGUUCUGUAUGCCACUUCCUGAAGGUGAGUGGUGAAGUAACGCUAAGGAACUUGGAUAAAUAAUUUGGGGUGAGGAAAAUGUCACCAUAUCACUGCAUUCAUCUUAGGCCUAUUUUCUAGUGGAAUGUAACUAUUUUGGUGAAUUAAUGAACUGCUAUUGCUCUCUGAUAUUGUGUGAGAGGA